CUGCGGUUCACUUUUUGCAGCUUCUAUCGUAGGCUAACAUGAUUGCUGGAUAUAGGCUAGUCCUACCGAGAAAACUUUUCUUCACGUUUCGGGAGCACGAGCGGAUAGCUGACAGGGACAUAUCGCUGUUGUCAGCUGCAGCGGACGACCUGGAGGAGAACCACACACCGUCGCUGCGGUACCGUUUUUAAUGGCUACUUUGCGGCCUUAACAGCCUCCAUUACGGUCGUUGCCCGGGGGUACUCAGUAACCUCCGGGUUUGGGAGGUCGAGGCGGCCGCAGAGGUGCACAAGCCUGGCGAUGAGGGGGAACACAAGACAAUUGUAAUUUGGGGCGGCCCAAAUCUUCUUGGAGAGUGACGAGUUUCGCUGGCUGGAGAGGUGGCUGUAGCUGUGGGCGGCCUUAAAGGGUCCCCCAACUUCACAGACCUGAGGACCACUGUGUCUGCACAUGCCAAGAACAACCUGCCUGCCAAGCAGCGGAAGAUGGUGGACACAACACUGCCACAGCUGGCUGCUUCUAAGCCCUCAGCCUGAACGUGACCCAGUCAAAGAGGAUGAGGGAGCAUUUCCACCAGGCAAGCACCCCCA